UUAAGCGACUAAGCGUACACGGUGGAUGCCCUGGCAGUCAGAGGCGAUGAAGGACGUGCUAAUCUGCGAAAAGCGUCGGUAAGGUGAUAUGAACCGUUAUAACCGGCGAUGUCCGAAUGGGGAAACCCAGUGUGAUUCGUCACACUAUCGUUAACUGAAUACAUAGGUUAACGAGGCGAACCGGGGGAACUGAAACAUCUAAGUACCCCGAGGAAAAGAAAUCAACCGAGAUUCCCCCAGUAGCGGCGAGCGAACGGGGAGCAGCCCAGAGUCUGAAUCAGCUUGUGUGUUAGUGGAACGGUCUGGAAAGUCCGACGGUACAGGGUGAUAGUCCCGUACACCAAAAUGCACAGGUUGUGAACUCGAAGAGUAGGGCGGGACACGUGGUAUCCUGUCUGAAUAUGGGGGGACCAUCCUCCAAGGCUAAAUACUCCUGACUGACCGAUAGUGAACCAGUACCGUGAGGGAAAGGCGAAAAGAACCCCGGCGAGGGGAGUGAAAAAGAACCUGAAACCGUGUACGUACAAGCAGUGGGAGCACCUUCGGGUGUGACUGCGUACCUUUUGUAUAAUGGGUCAGCGACUUAUAUUCUGUAGCAAGGUUAACCGUAUAGGGGAGCCGCAGGGAAACCGAGUCUUAACUGGGCGUUAAGUUGCAGGGUAUAGACCCGAAACCCGGUGAUCUAGCCAUGGGCAGGUUGAAGGUUGGGUAACACUAACUGGAGGACCGAACCGACUAAUGUUGAAAAAUUAGCGGAUGACUUGUGGCUGGGGGUGAAAGGCCAAUCAAACCGGGAGAUAGCUGGUUCUCCCCGAAAGCUAUUUAGGUAGCGCCUCGUGAACUCAUCUUCGGGGGUAGAGCACUGUUUCGGCUAGGGGGUCAUCCCGACUUACCAACCCGAUGCAAACUACGAAUACCGAAGAAUGUUAUCACGGGAGACACACGGCGGGUGCUAACGUCCGUCGUGAAGAGGGAAACAACCCAGACCGCCAGCUAAGGUCCCAAAGUCAUGGUUAAGUGGGAAACGAUGUGGGAAGGCACAGACAGCCAGGAUGUUGGCUUAGAAGCAGCCAUCAUUUAAAGAAAGCGUAAUAGCUCACUGGUCGAGUCGGCCUGCGCGGAAGAUGUAACGGGGCUAAACCAUGCACCGAAGCUGCGGCAGCGACACUAUGUGUUGUUGGGUAGGGGAGCGUUCUGUAAGCCUGCGAAGGUGUGCUGUGAGGCAUGCUGGAGGUAUCAGAAGUGCGAAUGCUGACAUAAGUAACGAUAAAGCGGGUGAAAAGCCCGCUCGCCGGAAGACCAAGGGUUCCUGUCCAACGUUAAUCGGGGCAGGGUGAGUCGACCCCUAAGGCGAGGCCGAAAGGCGUAGUCGAUGGGAAACAGGUUAAUAUUCCUGUACUUGGUGUUACUGCGAAGGGGGGACGGAGAAGGCUAUGUUAGCCGGGCGACGGUUGUCCCGGUUUAAGCAUGUAGGCUGGUUGUCCAGGCAAAUCCGGAUAAUCAAGGCUGAGGUGUGAUGACGAGGCACUACGGUGCUGAAGUAACAAAUGCCCUGCUUCCAGGAAAAGCCUCUAAGCAUCAGGUAACAUCAAAUCGUACCCCAAACCGACACAGGUGGUCAGGUAGAGAAUACCAAGGCGCUUGAGAGAACUCGGGUGAAGGAACUAGGCAAAAUGGUGCCGUAACUUCGGGAGAAGGCACGCUGGUGUGUAGGUGAAGUCCCUGCGGAUGGAGCUGAGACCAGUCGAAGAUACCAGCUGGCUGCAACUGUUUAUUAAAAACACAGCACUGUGCAAACACGAAAGUGGACGUAUACGGUGUGACGCCUGCCCGGUGCCGGAAGGUUAAUUGAUGGGGUUAUCCGUAAGGAGAAGCUCUUGAUCGAAGCCCCGGUAAACGGCGGCCGUAACUAUAACGGUCCUAAGGUAGCGAAAUUCCUUGUCGGGUAAGUUCCGACCUGCACGAAUGGCGUAAUGAUGGCCAGGCUGUCUCCACCCGAGACUCAGUGAAAUUGAACUCGCUGUGAAGAUGCAGUGUACCCGCGGCAAGACGGAAAGACCCCGUGAACCUUUACUAUAGCUUGACACUGAACAUUGAGCCUUGAUGUGUAGGAUAGGUGGGAGGCUUUGAAGCGUGGACGCCAGUCUGCGUGGAGCCAACCUUGAAAUACCACCCUUUAAUGUUUGAUGUUCUAACGUUGGCCCCUUACCGGGGUUGCGGACAGUGUCUGGUGGGUAGUUUGACUGGGGCGGUCUCCUCCCAAAGCGUAACGGAGGAGCACGAAGGUUAGCUAAUCCUGGUCGGACAUCAGGAGGUUAGUGCAAUGGCAUAAGCUAGCUUGACUGCGAGCGUGACGGCGCGAGCAGGUGCGAAAGCAGGUCAUAGUGAUCCGGUGGUUCUGAAUGGAAGGGCCAUCGCUCAACGGAUAAAAGGUACUCCGGGGAUAACAGGCUGAUACCGCCCAAGAGUUCAUAUCGACGGCGGUGUUUGGCACCUCGAUGUCGGCUCAUCACAUCCUGGGGCUGAAGUAGGUCCCAAGGGUAUGGCUGUUCGCCAUUUAAAGUGGUACGCGAGCUGGGUUUAGAACGUCGUGAGACAGUUCGGUCCCUAUCUGCCGUGGGCGCUGGAGAAUUGAGGGGGGCUGCUCCUAGUACGAGAGGACCGGAGUGGACGCAUCACUGGUGUUCGGGUUGUCAUGCCAAUGGCACUGCCCGGUAGCUAAAUGCGGAAGAGAUAAGUGCUGAAAGCAUCUAAGCACGAAACUUGCCCCGAGAUGAGUUCUCCCUGAGACUUUAAGUCUCCUGAAGGAACGUUGAAGACGACGACGUUGAUAGGCCGGGUGUGUAAGCGCAGCGAUGCGUUGAGCUAACCGGUACUAAUGAACCGUGAGGCUUAACCUU
rnacentral:rRNA from 1 species